GACGAACGCUGGCGGCGUGCUUAACACAUGCAAGUCGAGCGACGAAGUUCCUUCGGGAAUGAAUUAGCGGCGGACGGGUGAGUAACACGUGGGUAACCUGCCUCAUAGAGGGGAAUAGCCUUCCGAAAGGAAGAUUAAUACCGCAUAAGAUUGUAGUACCGCAUGGUACAGCAAUUAAAGGAGCAAUCCGCUAUGAGAUGGACCCGCGUCGCGUUAGCUAGUUGGUGAGGUAACGGCUCACCAAGGCGACGAUGCGUAGCCGACCUGAGAGGGUGAGCGGCCACAUUGGGACUGAGACACGGCCCAGACUCCUACGGGAGGCAGCAGUGGGGAAUAUUGCACAAUGGGGGAAACCCUGAUGCAGCAACGCCGCGUGAGUGAUGACGGUCUUCGGAUUGUAAAACUCUGUCUUCAGGGACGAUAAUGACGGUACCUGAGGAGGAAGCCACGGCUAACUACGUGCCAGCAGCCGCGGUAA
rnacentral:rRNA from 1 species